CCUGAUGCUAACAGUUAUGACCAUGGAAGAUUCUAAAAUCCUUCUUGUACUUUUGAGAACAGCAGCCAGCUGAGAGGAGACCCACCCAUAGUGCCAACAACUAAUUAUCAUACCAAGAAAACAAAAACUGUAAGCUCGGACCAGCGGGGCAGGCUGCCAACAUCACAGAGUUAUAUUAACGGUGACUCAGUCUCGCUAGAGGCUGCCACAUCCUCUUAGCCUCUCUCUCCAAGAACACCCAGAAUCCUUUGUCAAAGGAAGGUAGACAGCAUACCUUUCUGUGCACCUGAGCUGGAAAAGAUCUCUCCCCACCCUCUCAUCUUCUUUGAGAGGCAUCAGGCCCCACCUCCCAGUGAACUUUCAAAGGAACUCUUGGCUUCUGAGUUGCUGUUCUGGCUUGCUGGUUACGCAGAAAAUCUUUUCUAUUACGUAUAAGGCAAUCAAAGGAUAA